GACGAACGCUGGCGGCGUGCUUAACACAUGCAAGUCGAACGGUAAGGCCCUUCGGGGUACACGAGUGGCGAACGGGUGAGUAACACGUGGGUGAUCUGCCCUGCACUUCGGGAUAAGCCUGGGAAACUGGGUCUAAUACCGGAUAGGACCACUGCCUGCAUGGGUGGUGGUGGAAAGCUUUUGCGGUGUGGGAUGGGCCCGCGGCCUAUCAGCUUGUUGGUGGGGUGAUGGCCUACCAAGGCGACGACGGGUAGGCGGCCUGGGAGGGUGACCGGCCACACUGGGACUGAGAUACGGCCCAGACUCCUACGGGAGGCAGCAGUGGGGAAUAUUGCACAAUGGGCGCAAGCCUGAUGCAGCGACGCCGCGUGAGGGAUGACGGCCUUCGGGUUGUAAACCUCUUUCAGCACCGACGAAGCGCAAGUGGCGGUAGGUGCAGAAGAAGGACCGGCCAACUACGUGCAGCCGCCGCGGUAA
rnacentral:rRNA from 1 species